AUGGAUAUAAACCUACUGAACUGGAAUGUUAGGGGCCUGAACAACCCUGCCCGCCGUCGUGUCGUCCAAAAUUUGUGCAAUACCUGGAAGUGUAACAUCGUGUGCCUACAAGAGACUAAGAUCGCUGAUCUAUCAAGAAAUCUAGUGGUGGAGACAUUGGGGCCCAGAUUUGGGGAUAAUUUCUUGUUCAAAGGGGCUGACGGCACACGAGGCGGCAUCCUG
rnacentral:rRNA from 1 species